rnacentral:rRNA from 1 species
AUACGUAGGGAGCGAGCGUUGUCCGGAAUUACUGGGUGUAAAGGGAGCGUAGGCGGGAGUGCAAGUCAGAUGUGAAAUACAUGGGCUCAACCCAUGGGCUGCAUUUGAAACUGCAUUUCUUGAGUGAAGUAGAGGUAAGCGGAAUUCCUGGUGUAGCGGUGAAAUGCGUAGAUAUCAGGAGGAACACCGGUGGCGAAGGCGGCUUACUGGGCUUUUACUGACGCUGAGGCUCGAAAGCGUGGGGAGCAAACAGGAUUAGAUACCCUGGUAGUCCACGCUGUAAACGAUGAUUACUAGGUGUGGGGGGACUGACCCCUUCCGUGCCGCAGUUAACACAAUAAGUAAUCCACCUGGGGAGUACGGCCGCAAGGUUGAGACUCAAAGGAAUUGACGGGG